rnacentral:lncRNA from 1 species
AUGUUGUUAAAGUUUCGAUAAACCCGUUGAUCUAUUUACAAAAAAUGAUGAUUUCUGCUGUACAAAUUAGUGAUAUGCGCUUCAGAAAUUAGUGAUAUUCUCUUUAGAAUUUAGUGAUUUGUGUUGCAAAACUUGGUGAAAACUUCCAGAAAUUGGGGAAAAUCUCCAGAUCUGUUCUUGUACUUGAUUCUGGUGGUGGUGGCGGUGGUGGAGAUGGUGGAGGUGGCUGCGGAGAUGAAGGUGGUGGACAUGGCAGGAGUUAAUGGAGGUGCCGUAGGUGGAGGUGGUGGAGGAGGAGAUGAAGAAAGAGAAUGUGGAGGUGGGUUGGAUUCGUUGGGUGUAGAUACGGUGAAGGCGAACAUGGAGGGGCGGCGGGGCGGCGGACAUGAAUGGGCUGGUGAAGUUGCUGGAAGUGAAGGUGGAGGCAGGCUGGGUUGGAGAAGAAGUGGGGUUGUGAGAGAAUUUAGUGAUAUUCUCCUUAGAAUUUAGUGAUAUUUUAGCUGGGUUUUUAGUUUUUAGAAUAAGGAGGUUUGUAUUGGAGUAGUACUCUAUAUAUAUAUAUAUGUAUUUUCAAUCAUUCAUAUUCUAAGCACA